rnacentral:rRNA from 1 species
UACAGAGGGUGCGAGCGUUAAUCGGAAUUACUGGGCGUAAAGAGUGUGUAGGCGGUGUUCCCAGUCUGUUGUGAAAUCUCCCGGCUUAACUGGGAGGGUGCGCUACAAACUGUCUGACUAGAGUAUGGGAUGGGAGAGUGGAAUUCCUGGUGUAGCGGUGAAAUGCGUAGAUAUCAGGAGGAACACCGGUGGUGUAGACGGCUCUCUGGACCAUUACUGACGCUGAGACACGAAAGCGUGGGUAGCAAACAGG